rnacentral:rRNA from 1 species
UACGUAGGUGGCGAGCGUUGUCCGGAUUUAUUGGGCGUAAAGCGCGCGCAGGCGGUGCGGUAAGUCUGUCGUGAAAUCUCCCGGCUCAACUGGGAGGGUGCGGUGGAGACUGCCGGACUGGAGGCACUCAGAGGCCGGUGGAAUUCCCGGUGUAGUGGUGAAAUGCGUAGAGAUCGGGAGGAACACCAGUGGCGAAGGCGGCCGGCUGGGGGUGACCUGACGCUGAGGCGCGAAAGCGUGGGGAGCAAACAGG